CGUAGCUUCGCCACAGUCUGUCACCAGCAAGACUCGUGUGUGUGUGGCAGAGCUGAGACUGUGGGAGCUGACGAACCUUUCUUUAUGUUCAAAAAUCCAGAACAUGCCAAUAAAGAGGCGUCAGAGACUCGACAUU